rnacentral:rRNA from 1 species
GUCUUUUUGAUUAAUAAUUUAAAGUCUGGCCUGCCCACUGAAAUAUUUAAAGGGCCGCAGUAUUAAUUGUGCUAAGGUAGCAUAGUAAAUAGUCUUUUAAUUGGGGACUAGAAUGAAUGGUUAGACGAAAUAUUUAUUGUUUUUUAUUUAAAUAUAUAGAAUUUAUUAUUUUAAUUAAAAAAUUAAAAUUUUAUAGAAAGACGAGAAGACCCUAUAGAUCUUUAUAUAAAUUAUAAUUUAAUUAAUUUAUAUUUUAUUGGGGUGAUUAAAAAAUUUAUUUAACUUUUGUUUAUAUUUAACAUUGAUUUUUGAUUUUAUUUAUUGUGAUCUAUUUUUAUAAAUUAAGAUAAAAGAUACCUUAGGGAUAACAGCGUAAUUUUAAUUUUAAGUUCGUAUUAAAAUUAAAGAUUGCGACCUCGAUGUUGGAUUAAAAUUAAUUUUAAAUGUAGCUGUUUAAUAAUUAGGUCUGUUCGACCUUUGAAUUUUU